ensembl:lincRNA
GGCUGUUUAACAGAUGUUGUUUGCAGUUGAACUAAUGUUAGUCCACCCUGAUCCUUUCGUUUCAGAGUGAAUUAUUUAAUCAUCUGAUAUGCCAAUAGCUCUGAAUAAUUCUGGCUAGAAUGUAUCAGAAAACUGCAAUGCAGGAAGAGAAAACUACUUUGAAUUCACCAUGUGGGAGAAUGGCCACUAUCUCUUCAAAAGAGGAAAGGCUGUUAAAUAGUGGGCCCCAAUGCCAUUAUGAUACAAUCCAUAAUGUUCUUUCUUACUAAGACUGAAAAAUACAACUAUAAGGAGUGGUCAUACAGUAUACACACUUUCAAAAGGAAAAUAAAUAUUUUAUAUGUAUAAUUUCUGAGUGUCUGAAUUCAUAUAAUUUCUCAUAUAUAAAUUGAAUUGUCAUUUUAUAGCAAAAAUGUGUUGCACA